rnacentral:rRNA from 1 species
UACGAAGGGGGCUAGCGUUGCUCGGAAUUACUGGGCGUAAAGCGUGCGUAGACGGUAGCGUAAGUCAGAUGUGAAAGCCCCGGGCUCAACCUGGGAAUUGCAUUUGAGACUGCUCUGCUCGGGUGCGGAAGAGGGAAGCGGAAUUUCCGGUGUAGCGGUGAAAUGCGUAGAUAUCGGAAGGAACACCAGUGGCGAAAGCGGCUUCCUGGUCCGACACCGACGUUCAGGCACGAAAGCGUGGGGAGCAAACAGG